rnacentral:misc_RNA from 1 species
CGCCGUUCUAUCGGAUCGUUUUAGAAACAUCAGGGGCCAGCAAUUUCAGGAUUGUUGAGCUCCAUUGGCGGGAUUUCGCCGUCUUCGUUUCUCUUUCUUCGCGGACGAACACGCGCCAGGGGCUGCGCUUGUGCGAUGCGUUGGCGUUGAGCCGGCGCGCGCGAGCAAGUUCCCUCGUGUUAGGGGCUUGUAGCUCAGUUGGUUAGAGCGCGCGCUUGAUAAGCGUGAGGUCGGAAGUUCAAGUCUUCCCAGGCCCACCACUUUGAUCGAGCGUGUCAUCUCUUCAGGGAGAUGCGUCUCAAUGAUCGACGUAAGCAUUCGUCUUCUGGUACGGGGCCAUAGCUCAGCUGGGAGAGCGCGUGCUUUGCAAGCAUGAGGUCGUCGGUUCGAUCCCGUCUGGCUCCACCAGAUGGAAUUGAGGAUCGACACAGCGCCUCCUGAUUGAAGCGCCUCUGAUUGAGCGCCUCUGAGCAGAGUGGCUCAAGAUAAUCGUCCGCGAAACAUCACUUCGCACGUUGCGUCCCUAGCGGGAUGCGGGUGCGGGAUUUCUGACAUCGUAAAGAGGAGAUUGAUCCGAGUUUGGGAUCUCGCGAAGCAAUUCGCGGCAUUCCAAUCACUAUCUCCGGGACGUUUCGGCGCCCGUUCAUCGCAAGAUGAUCGGGUUGUAAAUGUCCUUGUUGGUGAAGCUUGACCGCCUCAUCAUCGGGUUGAUCUUACGAAGCAAGCUGGUCUUUCUAAUCAGUGUCCAGCCGCAUGCAGCAUUCAUCGAGGGUGCGCGCCUCAGGGUUUCGAUCCCAGGGCAAGUGUGCGGACUACAUUCUGCCGAGUGUGUGGACAUUGAUAAUGAGAGCAAUCAAGUGCCUUAAGGGUGUUCGGUGGAUGCCUUGGCGCUGAGAGGCGAUGAAGGACGUGCUACGCUGCGAUAAGCCGUGGG